UUUGUCAAUGGAUGUGACCGCAGGCACCUGGCAACCAGCUACAACAAACUUCAAAGAGCACCGCACCGACAACGUUGAACGCUAACGUUAGCCAGCAAGCUAACUUAUCAUGUGAACAACCAACCAGUUUUCUUAUUUUAGUGGAAAAUGGUGAAGCAGACGAUACAGAUAUUUGGUCGCAUUAAGCCCACCAAGAAAACUACGGCGGUGUACUCUGUGGACAAUGAGGAGCAGACAGGUGCCUCUCUGGAGUUUGUGGUGCCCAGGGACCUGGCUGAUGGCUUUGUUAACAACAAGAGGGAGUGCUACAAGUUCAGGUUCCAGAAAGUGUUUGAUCAAGCAGUCAAACAAGAGGAGAUAUUUCAAAACAUUGCCAAACCGGUUGCAGACAGUGUUUUGGCUGGCUAUAAUGGCACCAUAUUUGCCUAUGGCCAGACAGGCAGUGGGAAGACCUUUACCAUCACAGGAGGCGCUGAGCAUUACAGUGAUCGAGGCAUUAUUCCCCGCACCCUUUCCUACCUGUAUGAAUGCUUCAGCCAGGAUAGCAGUAUGAUUUACACCACACACAUCUCAUACCUGGAGAUCUACAAUGAGAUGGGAUAUGAUCUUCUGGAUUCCCGACAUGAGGCCUCUCGACUGGAGGACCUACCAAGAGUAACAAUCAUGGAGGAUCCAGACCAGAAUAUCCAUCUCAGGAACCUGUCACUGCAGCAGUCAGCAAAUGAAGAAGAGGCUCUGAAUCUGCUCUUCUUGGGUGACACCAAUCGUAUGAUCGCAGAAACUCCCAUGAACCAGGCGUCCACACGAUCCCACUGUAUUUUCACCGUGCACUUGUGCAGACGUGAGCCAGGCUCAGCCACCCUGCGGCGCUCCAAGCUCCACCUGGUGGACCUGGCUGGAUCGGAUAGAGUUAGCAAGACUGGCCUGAAUGGGCAGCUGCUCACUGAAGCCAAGUACAUCAACCUUUCCCUUCACUUCUUGGAACAGGUGAUCAUUGCUUUGUCAGAGAAGAACCGCUCCCAUAUUCCCUACAGAAACUCCAUGUUAACAUCUGUGCUUAGGGACAGCCUUGGGGGCAACUGCAGGACCACCAUGAUUGCCACUAUGGCGGUUGACAAGAGGAACCUUGAUGAGUCCAUCUCUACGUGCCGCUUUGCUCAGCGCGUGGCUCUCAUUAAGAACGAGGCGAUAUUGAAUGAAGAACUGGAUCCUGCCCUGCUAAUAGCACGUCUGAAAAGGGAGAUCCAGCUUCUGAAGGAAGAGCUGGCCAUGGUGACAGGAGAGCAGAGAGAUGACAAGCUAACUGUGGAGGAGAUCCAGAAGUUGGAAGAACUAGUCAAGGCCUUUCUGGAUGACCCUGAUCCAGGCAUGACACUGUCACUGGGACCAGAUAUGAGAAAACUCCAGUACUGUUUCUCCCUGUUGAAGAUGAUGAUUCUGGACAAGCAAAGUGGAGGAAACAAGCGCAAUGAUGGGCAAGAGUCACCAGCAGCAACAAAGAGGGAAGAGGUGACUCAAGACAGCCACCACAGUGCAGCACAAGUGACCAAAUUAAAGGAGAUGCUGACUCAACGUGAUAAUGAAAUCAGUAUCCUUGUUAAGAUGUUGAAGAAGGAGAAGAAAAGGGCUCAGGAUGCUGCUGCCCAGCUCGCUAAGAUCACCAGUGGCCAGAGCCUAACCUCCCAGAGUGCCUCAAGUUUGUCAACAGUGCCACUGUUGAGGGAAGGCAGCACAGACACUGUCUCAUCCAACCAUGGAGGACGAGCUAUGCAGUACAUGAAAAGAGGUCCACAGCUAUCUAUGGGAAAACAAGAAGCCUUUGAAACCUUCAUGAGGGACCACGAGGACUAUCUCACCAUUGAAGACAAUAAGAACCUACUCAAACAGAGGGCAGCUGAGGCAAGAAGACUUGGGGAGCAACUGAAUGAAGCCAGAAACAGAAUCAAUGAGUUGAAGAAGGAGUUAGAGAUGCGUAGGAGGCAGAGGGCGGCUCAUGGUGUGUUGGGGAACUACACAGAGUCUGAGAAGGAGGUGGACUCAGUGGAAGAAAACCUAUGCAAAAACAUUGAGCAGGAAAAAAAGGCUUACAAGAGCACCAUUGUCCGUCUAAAAGCAUUGAGGACAGAGAUUGAGCACCUGCAGCUGUUGCUGGAAAGGGCGAAGGUCAAGCUCCAGAGGGACUUCCAUAAGUGGUGGAGCCAGGAGGCCUCCAGUGCCCAGGAAUCUGACUCAGAGUCAACAGCCAGAUGUCACACAGGGUCACAAGGUGGAACCUUGCAGCCAUCCUCACCCAGCACUCCAGGAUUUGGUGCACCUGGUCUGAGCAGUACUGUGAGAGACUAUCCAGCAAGCCAAAACCCAAAUCCAGGCUGUUCCACCUCUUUUAUUCAAGAUCUCAGAAGCUUUAGCCCCAAAAGCAUACCUCCCUUACCAGCGGACAGAGUGGCAAGAUUCGUCCCUGGAUGGGAAAGUGACUGACCACACUCCUUCAUCUGGGUGGAGAGCCCUUUCUACCACCAAGCUCACAUCAUCCUCUAUUCCACUGACUGGAGACCAGCAGACUGAUGCUGACAUCCUGGCCUUUGUCAGAGCCAGGCAAAACCUCCUCAACAGAACAGGCCCUCCUCAGCAGUGAUAUGAAGUUCUGAGGAAGCAUUCAAGACCUGAAGUUAUCGUCAUCUGACUGACUGUGUGACCACCACGACUGUCAGGUGAUAAAAUGAUCCUGAAAAUGUGGAUUAUACUUCCAUGAGUAUUAAUGGACAAUGAAGAUUUGAACAAAAAUCAUCUCAAAAUGGAUCCUAAAAUAUAAAAAAAUUCUCAUAAAAAAGACACACACCACACAUACUGUCUCAUUCCCACAUGCAUACACUCACUUGUUGACCCUCUGAAGAUGAUGCCAUUGAUAUAAUGGGCAGCGAUAUAAAUCACAGCCUUCACCGCCUAUUUGAUCUGUACAAAUGUUGGCUCAAGAUAUCAGAGGAAGCAGCAGACAAUAGGAAACCAGUUGGCUCCAGUAUGUGUUUAAGGAUGUAAUGAAUCAUGACUUUCCAAAUGGUCACAGGAAGUUUCAACAUGCAGAAUGUCAAACAUAUUUCAUAUAUCUGGCUGGUUUCAUUUUAUUCUCAGGAUAAUUUUUUUGUGUAAAAUGCUGGAAAUAGAUGUAUUUAGUAUAUGUACAGUAGUUUGCCUUUUAAUGUUCUGUAAAACAUUUACUCAAAAUGUUAAAUCAAAAAUAAGGCUGCAUUAUGAGAAAAUGUCAAGAACCAAAGCAAAUGUGAGAUGCCAUAACGUGCUUUACUGUAGUAGUUUGCCAGUGUUCUUGGCUUACAGUAUUAGGUGACUGGUCUCCCAGUUCAUACUGUCUGCAAUCUGUCAUCUGGAGGAAGCUGUUGCCAAGUGACUUAGACUCUAGGAGUGAUACAUGUUUGGGAACAGUCUGACCUAUUCAAGCACAAAAGUUAGUUUUCAUUAGUUCAGUAAUGUUAAAUCUCUUUCUCACAGCUCUUCCUUUACAGAUAUUUUAUGGGGGUUACUGUGGUUUAUUUUCUUUUGAAAUUCAGCUGGAAAAUGAUUCCUAAUAAACUUCAUCCAUGAAAGGUAUUAGAACGACUAAAACUUUUUGUUGUGUCGUUAAUUAAAAUAC